GUCUGCAACUCGACUACAUGAAGCUGGAAUCGCUAGUAAUCGCAGAUCAGAAUGCUGCGGUGAAUACGUUCCCGGGUCUUGUACACACCGCCCGUCACACCAUGGGAGUCGGAAAUGCCCGAAGCCGGUGACCAAACCAAUAGGGAAGGAGCCGUCGAAGGCAGGUCUGAUAACUGGGGUGAAGUCGUAACAAGGUAAC
rnacentral:rRNA from 1 species